rnacentral:rRNA from 1 species
UCGCCUCUUGAAUCUCAUAAGAGGUCCAGCCUGCCCAGUGACACAAUUAAACGGCCGCGGUACCCUGACCGUGCGAAGGUAGCAUAAUCACUUGUUCUCUAAAUAAGGACUUGUAUCAACGGCAUCACGAGGGUUAUACUGUCUCCUCUUUUUAAUCAGUGAAACUGACUUUCCCGUGAAGAGGCGGGAAUAGAAAUACAAGACGAGAAGACCCCAUGGAGCUUUAAACCCAGUAGUAACCUCUAUUUACUACUACUACUUAAUCAAGAAGGUCUACCUACUGGUUUUAGGUUGGGGUGACCCUGGAGUAAAACUAAGCCUCCAUGACGAAUAGAAUUAUUCUAAUCCCAGAGCCACUGCUCUACGAAUCAAAAUUUUGACGUAAACUGAUCCGCCUAGCGAUCAACGAACCAAGUUACCCUGGGGAUAACAGCGCAAUCCAUUUCAAGAGCCCCUAUCGACAAAUGGGUUUACGACCUCGAUGUUGGAUCAGGGUAUCCCAGUGGUGCAGCCGCUACUAAAGGUUUGUUUGUUC